GCCUACGGGAGGCAGCAGUGAGGAAUAUUGGUCAAUGGUCGGGAGACUGAACCAGCCAAGCCGCGUGAGGGAGGAAGGUACAGAGUAUCGUAAACCUCUUUUGUCAGGGAACAAAGGCGGGGACGUGUCCCCGGAUGAGUGUACCUGAAGAAAAAGCAUCGGCUAACUCCGUGCCAGCAGCCGCGGUAAUACGGAGGAUGCGAGCGUUAUCCGGAUUUAUUGGGUUUAAAGGGUUCGCAGGCGGUCUGUUAAGUCAGCGGUCAAAGCCCGGGGCCCAACCCCGGCCCGCCGUUGAAACUGGCAGG
rnacentral:rRNA from 1 species